rnacentral:rRNA from 1 species
UGGAGAGUUUGAUCCUGGCUCAGGACGAACGCUGCGGCGUGCUUAACACAUGCAAGUCGAACGGAAAGGUCUCUUCGGAGAUACUCGAGUGGCGAACGGGUGAGUAACACGUGGGUGAUCUGCCCUGCACUUCGGGAUAAGCCUGGGAAACUGGGUCUAAUACCGGAUAGGACCACGGGAUGCAUGUCUUGUGGUGGAAAGCGCUUUAGCGGUGUGGGAUGAGCCCGCGGCCUAUCAGCUUGUUGGUGGGGUGACGGCCUACCAAGGCGACGACGGGUAGCCGGCCUGAGAGGGUGUCCGGCCACACUGGGACUGAGAUACGGCCCAGACUCCUACGGGAGGCAGCAGUGGGGAAUAUUGCACAAUGGGCGCAAGCCUGAUGCAGCGACGCCGCGUGGGGGAUGACGGCCUUCGGGUUGUAAACCUCUUUCACCAUCGACGAAGGUCCGGGUUCUCUCGGAUUGACGGUAGGUGGAGAAGAAGCACCGGCCAAUACGUGCCAGCAGCCGCGGUA